rnacentral:lncRNA from 1 species
GAUUUUAAUUGCAUUUUUAACUGUGGUUUCAGCUCAUUUUUAGCUGUGAUCAUUUGGUUACUGCAAAAUAGCCAGAUAUAUCCUCUAUCUUAGCAAUGGUUAGUAUAUAUUACUUAUAGUAGAUUAUUUCUUGAACUUUAUUUAAGUGAUAUUAGUCUUAAAAUUAGUAAGGAUUUUGACUAAUUGAUGGUCAGCAUAUUUUUCUCUGUUGGGUAAAUUUUUGAAUUUUUAUUUUUCAGUUACUUCUGUUAUUUCAAUCAAUAUGGAUGGCUACAUGGUGGCAGCGGAUGUGGAAACUUCAGACAACAAGGACUAAGAAAAAGAGUUACCUUGCUAAUUGGGAAAAAAGAGACCCCAUUGAAGUAGAUACCAGGCAAAUAGCCAAGUUCCUUUGGUGGGUGCUCUUUUUUCAUAAUAUGUUUGGACAUAACAAUUUCUGUGACUUAUAAUUGAAGAUCUAUAUUGGGCUAUGUGAUU